AGCAGGAUCAUUCUUGGAAGAAAAUAAGGCUUUAAAACCCUAUUUCUUUCGAAUUUAUUUUCGAGUUUUAUAUUUGAUAUGAGUAUCUUCGGGAAUCCUCCUAAGACAGCGGCAGCGUAAAAACCUGCUAGCUCGUCUCCUUCUCAUCGGUCCUGUGUUUCGCAAUGUGCGCGCAGGCUGGUGGGCGGUUGGGCAACAUAGAGUGUGGAGGAUGCUGCUCUCCAACCGUUCGAAACAACGCUCAACGAUGGAUAUCUCAGCUUGGUGAUCGAUGAAGGACGCAGCAAAGUGCGACAAGUGUCAUGACUUGCAGAUACCCGAGAGCUGACAAAUUUCUGAAUGCAAAUUGCAGCCAAGUUAACCUGGCUAUGUAUUGCAGAGAGUACUUCGCUUAUGCGCGCCAUCCAGGGGUGGUUCCAUUCCCUCUUGGGCUAUGUGCAGGCAUCUAAUCUUGCUUGCUGAGCAUUGUGCCACUCCAGCCAUUCGUGGGUUUGGAUUUAAAGGCCAACUCAAAUUAAAGAUAGAAAACCAACGAGUUUUCCCGGACAAUAUAUAUGAGAUAAUUGAGUGUGAUAGAGUCACUCUACCACACCACAAUUACUUCUCACCAUUCACCUCUGCAAUGCAGGAGAACCCGCUGAACUUAGCAUAUCAUUGAGCGGAGGACAAGAAACAACUGUGAUUCCCUGAGUAACUGCGAGUGAAUAGGGAAGAGCCUAUGCUUGAAUCUGGUGUGGAUGGAAUCGGAAACACCGGAAUUGUAGUGCAAGGGUGAGUGCAGGAUGAAUCCAGUCGGAAGAAUCGCUCAGGAACGAGCAACCAAUGAGGGCUAUCGUCCCGUAUCCUCCGACGCGGCCGUCCUACAUGCGCUUCUCCCCAAGAGUCGGGCAGUUUGAGAAUGCUGUCCAAAACCGCAGGUGUACUCCUGCGAAGGCUAAAUAUUUCACCAAGACCGAUAGCGAACAAGUAGUGUGAACGAAAGAUGAAAAGUACUUUGAAAAGAGAGUGAAAAGUCCUUGACAUUGUUGGGCGCAAAGGGUAUGAGACCCAUUGUAUGCUUCUGCUUUUUAGCGUGAGCCGUCAACGCGAGUUUCUGGCUUCUGCAGGUUGUGCUCUGCUCCCUCGCUUCGGCGGGUGAGAGACAUUUCUGUUGCAGCAAGUUGGCGACUUGGCAGAGUCUUUGAGCCGAACGCAUCUGAUUUUGCCUGUGUUUGCGAUGUCGAAGCGUCUUCUUUCGUGGGAGGCCUUCACGUUGCAAACCGCUGUCACCAGGUGUUUUCGAGCUUGAGAAUCGUUGACCUUUUAAUGGUCUCUUACCACCCGUCUUGAAACACGGACCAAGGAGUCUACCGAAUGUGCGAGUGUUAUGGUGAUUGAACCAAACGACGCACAAUGAAAGUGAUGCCUGUGAACCGCGACGGAGAUCGUCGUUGGUGCAACAGGGCUCGGUCCUAAUCAUUAGAAAGGGAUCUGAAGUUUGAGCACAUUCGCUGGGACCCGAAAGAUAGCGAGCUUUCCUGGGCCGAAGGAAGCAGGGGAAACCUUGGUGGACGUUCGAAUGCAGUGCUGACGUGCAAAUCGCUUGUCAGAUCUGGGUAAAGGGGCGAAAGACUCAUCGAGCUAUCUAGUAGCUGGUUCCCUC
rnacentral:misc_RNA from 1 species